GUUUCAUUUUUGGGUUGGGGAGGAAAUUAAUGAAUGUCUAUUGGAUCGAGUUUGGGCAUGAAAUUUAAUUGUGGUUUGAAAAUAGAGUUAAAUUUGAUUACAAAUAUGAAUUUUUUUUUUGAUGAUUUGAAUUAGUAGUGUAAAAUUUUAUAAAUUAAUGGAAGUUAGAAUUAGUUAAAAUUUUAGUAUUAACAAAAUUUGUGCCAGCAGUUGCGGUUAUACAGAUAAUGCAAUUUUAUUAUAUUAAUAAAAAUUAACAUAUUGAUUUUACAUAAAUUUGGAAUUUUUAAGUGAAAUUUUAAUUUUAAAUAAAGUAAUUUUUUGAUUUUGUGAAGUUUAGAAAUUUUAUAUAAAACUAGGAUUAGAUACCCUAUUAUAAAAAUGUAAAUUAUUAUAUUAAAUGAUUAUGAGUUAUAUUCUUUAAAGUUAAACAAUUUGGCGGUAUUUUAGACUUUUCAGAGGAACCUGUUUUUUAAUCGAUAAUCCACGAGAUAAUUAACUUUAGUUAGAAAUUUUUAUAUCGUUGUUUUUAAAUAUUUUAAAAGAAUAUGAAUAUUUAAAAAUUUUAAUUAGAAUUAAUUUCAGAUCAAGGUGAAGUUUAUACUAAAGAUUUAAUGGGUUACAAUAAAAUUAUUUUUAGUAAAUUUUUUGAAAAAGAAAUUUUAAAUUGGAUUUGAAAGUAAUUAAAUUUAGUUUAAUUUAAUGAUUUAGCUCUAAAAUAUGUACAUAUUGCCCGUCGCUUUCAUUAUUAAAGUGGAAUAAGUCGUAACAAAGUAGAUUUACUGGAAAGUGAAUCUUUAG
rnacentral:ncRNA from 1 species